rfam:Oryza meridionalis cultivar OR44 (W2112) chromosome 8, whole genome shotgun sequence.
AAUAAACGCAUCCCGUGUCCAACUUUAACCGUUCGUCUUAUUUAAAAUUCUUUUAUGAUUAGUAUCUUUUAUUGUUAUUAGAUUAUAAAACAUGAAUAGUAUUUUAUGCAUGACUUAUGUUUUUUAGUUUUUUCAAAAAAAAAUUUCAAAUAAAAUGGACGAUUGAAGUUGGAUAUGGAAACUUAUGGCUACGUUUAUU